rnacentral:rRNA from 1 species
UACGUAGGUCCCGAGCGUUAUCCGGAUUUACUGGGUGUAAAGGGAGCGUAGGCGGCGAUGCAAGUCAGAAGUGAAAGCCCGGGGCUCAACUCCGGGACUGCUUUUGAAACUGUGUUGCUAGAUUGCAGGAGAGGUAAGUGGAAUUCCUAGUGUAGCGGUGAAAUGCGUAGAUAUUAGGAGGAACACCAGUGGCGAAGGCGGCUUACUGGACUGUAAAUGACGCUGAGGCUCGAAAGCGUGGGGAGCAAACAGG